rnacentral:rRNA from 1 species
GUACAAAGGGCUGCAAGACCGCGAGGUUUAGCCAAUCCCAUAAAACCAUUCUCAGUUCGGAUUGUAGGCUGCAACUCGCCUACAUGAAGCCGGAAUCGCUAGUAAUCGCGGAUCAGCAUGCCGCGGUGAAUACGUUCCCGGGCCUUGUACACACCGCCCGUCACACCACGAGAGUUUGUAACACCCGAAGUCGGUGGGGUAACC